rnacentral:rRNA from 1 species
GAGUAUGGCCAUACCACCCUGCACACACCAGAUCUUGUCUGAUCUCAGAAGUUAACCACGGUCAGGCCUGGUUAAUAUUUGGAUGGGAGAAAAUAUAUCCACAGUCCUUC